AGGAGCCGUAUGAAGGGAAACUUUCACGUAUGGUUCUGAAUGGGAGGGGAUGGUGGUGACUCCAUUCUCGACCCCUAAC
rfam:Arthrospira platensis NIES-39 DNA, nearly complete genome.